UACGAAGGGGGCUAGCGUUGUUCGGAAUUACUGGGCGUAAAGCGCGCGCAGGCGGUCCUUCAAGUCAGAGGUGAAAGCCCAGAGCUCAACUCUGGAACGGCCUUUGAGACUAGAGGACUUGGGUACGGGAGAGGUGAGUGGAGUUCCGAGUGUAGAGGUGAAAUUCGUAGAUAUUCGGAAGAACACCAGUGGCGAAGGCGGCUCACUGGCCCGUUACCGACGCUCAGGCGCGACAGCGUGGGGAGCAAACAGG
rnacentral:rRNA from 1 species